rnacentral:rRNA from 2 species
UUCCGGUUGAUCCUGCCGGAGGUUACUGCUAUCGAGGUUCGACUAAGCCAUGCGAGUCGAAUGUAGCAAUACAUGGCGAACUGCUCAGUAACACGUGGACAACCUGCCCUUAGGACGGGGAUAAACCCGGGAAACUGGGUAUAAUACCCGAUAGGUCUCGAUUGCUGGAAUGCAUCGAGAUUUAAAGCUCCGGCGCCUAAGGAUGGGUCUGCGGCCUAUCAGGUAGUAGUGGGUGUAGCGUACCUACUAGCCUACGACGGGUACGGGUUGUGAGAGCAAGAGCCCGGAGAUGGAUUCUGAGACACGAAUCCAGGCCCUACGGGGUGCAGCAGGCGCGAAAACUUUACAAUGCUGGCAACAGCGAUAAGGGAACCUCGAGUGCCAGGUUACAAAUCUGGCUGUCGAGAUGCCUAAAAAGCAUUUCAUAGCAAGGGCCGGGCAAGACCGGUGCCAGCCGCCGCGGUAACACCGGCGGCUCGAGUGGUAACCGUUAUUAUUGGGUCUAAAGGGUCUGUAGCCGGCCGGAUAAGUCUCUUGAGAAAUCUGGCAGCUUAACUGUCAGGCUUUCAGGAGAUACUGUCUGGCUCGAGGCCGGGAGAGGUGAGAGGUACUUCAGGGGUAGGGGUGAAAUCUUGUAAUCCUUGAAGGACCACCAGUGGCGAAGGCGUCUCACCAGAACGGACCUGACGGCAAGGGACGAAAGCUAGGGGCACGAACCGGAUUAGAUACCCGGGUAGUCCUAGCCGUAAACGAUACUCGCUAGGUGUCGGCCACGGUGCGACCGUUGUCGGUGCCGUAGGGAAGCCGUGAAGCGAGCCACCUGGGAAGUACGGCCGCAAGGCUGAAACUUAAAGGAAUUGGCGGGGGAGCACCACAACGGGUGGAGCUUGCGGUUUAAUUGGAUUCAACGCCGGA